rnacentral:lncRNA from 1 species
ACCUAAAUGACAACACUCUAACCCCACCAAGGAAAACAAAUUACUCUUCUCUGUCUCUUCUGAGCAUAGCAUUCCAGAUCAUUUUGCAUAAAUAUUUAUUGACAUGCUUGGCUCUCCUAAAAGAUUUUGUCAGUUUCCAACCCCAGAACCCACUGAGUGCUUAAAAAGUAGUAGAAUCUCAAUGAAUGUUUGUUGAAUUAAAACGAUUCCAAAGAUUGAUGUUAAAACAGAAAAGGAACAGACAGACAGAGUUGGAACGGCAAUUCUGCCACUUACUGGCUUGACAACUUUGGACCAGUUCCUUAAUCUCUCAGUGUCAACUGCUUCAUCCAUCAAUAAUGGUACUUUGUAGAGAGAAGGUGAAAGCAUAUAAAGUAUCUGGUCCCAGUGGUUGCUCUUAAUUAGUAGGCCAGGGGCUUCCCAGAUUUUUCAUUAUCAGCAAUGAAAUAUUUCAUAGAACCAGGUAAGAGCAGAGCUACUGUAACUUAGGGGUGCAGCCUCAGAGCCCCACCUGCUUAGCUACACCCAUAUCUUCUGAAGCAGUAGUAUUUGAUCAAGAAUGAGGAGAGGAAACCACAUGUACAAAGGUCUAGAUGUAAGGAACACUGAAAAUGUUGACUUCCUAGUAUAUGUCUGGAACAUAGCAGGUAUUCAACAAAUGGCAGCAGCCUUUAGAACUACUACAGAUGAGAUGGGGCAUGUUCAGGAUGGUAUGGCUGUAGACCCUACAGAACUUUUACAAUGUCCUUAGCCUCCAAAGGUAUUAGAUUUAUCUCUGUGGCCUCAGUUCCUGGCACAUAGUAGAUAAUCAGUAAGUGUUGAAAACUGAAUAAUCAAAUAAAUAAAUGAGUGAAUAAAUGAAUGAAUAAAUAAUUAUUAAUUUCUGUCUCCUCCUAACGACCUCCCAUACUAGAAGCCACAUUCUUACUCAGACUUUACCUAGAAUAGUGUGGUUCCCUCGCACUGUAGAGAGAGUGAGGCUGCAGCCUGGUUUUGACUUUGGACUUGGGAGAUAUCCACUGGGUUCAGCUGGAAUCAUGUGGCCUCCUCCCCUCUAACAGAGGAGAGAGUAUGCUUUUUUCCUUCUUAUAACACUGAUGCUAAUGAGAUGCACGUAGAUGAUUCUUGUUUGAAAGUCUGUCUGAAUGACAUCUAUUUGUCAUCCCAGAGACCCACACAGAGCUUAGCAAUUGGUAGUAUUGUGAAAACAAUAACAGCAACAAUAAAAGCCAAACAAACAAAA